GCUGGGAGUAGUGCAAGCAACGCCAUCUUGAGGGGGUGGUGGGGAAACCCGUGCGGGUUCAAAUUCCGCCUUCGGCACCA
rnacentral:tRNA from 1 species